rnacentral:lncRNA from 1 species
AUAGAUUAUUGGUUCUAGGGCUGGAAAUGGGGAGUGAUUGCGAAUGGACAUUGAGGGAUCUUAUUGAAGCAACAAAAAUGUUCUAAACUGGAUGAUGGUGGUGGUUGUGCAAUUCAGUGAACUUAAUAAAAAUUAUUGACUUGUUCACUUCAAAUGGGUGAAUCUUAUAUGUAAAUUAUACCUCAGUUUUAAAAAUAAAAGGGAUCGUUAAAAUUGAAUAUAAUUUUACUUUGAAAAAUUAACCAAAAAACAAAAAAAUACAAAAAAAUUUUAAAGACAACCCAUUGUGUAGCAAUUAGAAGUGCAAUAACUUUGUCCUUCCAAUUUGUAUUUUUUACACUUUCAAUAUUAUACAGUUUAAGAAAAUUAUAAAAAAUACAGAGAAAAUCAUUUGCAAUUUCUCCAUACAAAUACAUCAGUUCUCUUUUUUCUUGUUCUUUC